CCUACGGGAGGCAGCAGUGAGGAAUAUUGGUCAAUGGGCGAGAGCCUGAACCCGCCAAGUCGCGUGCGGGAGUACUGCCCUAUGGGUUGUAAACCUCUUUUGUCGGUGAGCAAAAGCCGGACGUGUCCGGCUGUGAGAGUACCCGAAGAAAAAGCAUCGUCUAACUCCGUGCCAGCAGCCGCGGUAAUACGGAGGCUGCGAGAGUUAUCCGGCUUUAUUGGGUUUAAAGGGUGCGCAGGCGGAUUUUUAAGUCAGCGGUCACAUCGUGGGGCUAAACCCCAUCCAGCCGUUGACACUGGUGAUCUAGAGUGUGCGAGAGGUAUGCGGAAUGCGUGGUGUAGCGGUGAAAUGCAUAGAUAGCACGCAGAACCCCGAUUGCGAAGGCAGCAUACCGGUGCACAACUGACGCGCAGGCACGAAAGCGUGGGUAUCGAACAGGAUUAGAUACCCUGGUAGUC
rnacentral:rRNA from 1 species